CAACAUGAUGCUUAUGAAAAAUUAAAACAAAAAAUUAGUUCUGUAUAUAUUGCAGCAGAUAAUGAAAAUGAGUUCGUAGAAAAUUUACAGGUUGAAAAAAGAAAAAAAAAAUUUAAACAUAAGGCAACUUGUACACGCACCUUUUGCUUUUGCUUUUGCUUUUGUUUGUGCUUUUACUUUUGCUUUUACCUUUUCAUGCCACGAUACGAUAUAUGCAUUUUUUUUUUUUUUUUUUUUUUUUUUAGAAACUGCAUUCACCAUAUAGUAGUCUACCAAGUUUUAUUUAUGAAAAAUUAAAAAACUGGGGUGAUAAUACUGAUCUAAAUGGAAGUAAAGCAAGCAACUUAAAUGAAGAUUUUUAUAACGAUUUGGAUAAUGAUGAGGAAGAGGAGGAUUAUAAAAAAAUAGUGAAUAAUCAAUCUUUUGAAUUUGAUUCAGGCUACUCAAAUCACUCCGCUGGAACAUCCAAUGGUGAAGGAAUAGAAAAAAAAAAAAAAAAAAAAAAUAUCGAAACAAAACAGAAAAAGGCAUAAAAAAAAAAAAUGUUAAUAUUAAUUUACCUGUACUUACAAUUUUCUUGGCUUUACUUAUAUAUUUUGUUUUAUUUUUACUUUUUAGAAUUUGUUAUACCACUUCCCGACUUAAUAAUUAUUAAUCCUCCCCGAAAAGGAUGCGAAAAGAUAUUUAGAAGAUGGCUACGAGGCAUAUGUUGCAAAUUCAUUAUUUACAUAUCAUGUAAUGUAAUCAGCCAGUUUAAAGAUAUUUCUCAUUUGGUUAACUUGGGGUAAGAAACUUGUACUCGCCUAAAGGAACAUUUCAUUUCAUCGAUUUAUAUAUAUAUAUAUAUAUAUAUACAUAUAUGUAAAUAUAUUUUAUCUUUACAGUUAUGUAGUUAAAGAAAUUAUUCCCCUGGACACGUUUCCUAAAACGAAACACUUUGAAUGUGUAACACUCUUAGAGUUUAAUUUUCAUCAGGUUAUAAUAUAUAUAUAUAUAUGUACCAUAUUUUAUAUAACGCUUUUAUGCACAAAUCCUCAUGAUUUUAUUAUUUUUAUUUAUUCUCCAUAUACAUAAUUAAAUUUGUAUUUUUUUUUUUUUUUUUUUUUAGAAAAAGAAUAAUGAAAAAAAAGAACUUAUGGAACUUGAAUUAAAUGAAAUGAAAAAUUAUAAAAAAAUGUAAAAGAAAAAAAAGUUUUUCAAUUUUUUUUAAUUAUUAGCACAUACAAAUUAUGCAUUGUCAUAUACUACAUAAAUAGAUGUGUUAUUAAAAAAAAAAAAAAAAAAAAAAAAUUAGUUAUAUUUUUAAAACGUAAAUAAUAUUUACACUGUUUUGUGAAUAUCUGUACCUGCGCCGAAUAAUUUUCAAAUAUAUUAACAUAAGUAUUUAACAACAUCAACAAUUUUUACAACGGCUU
rnacentral:lncRNA from 1 species